GUUCUGCCGGAGCUUCCAUUGCUCUGUCUUUGCACUGUACUUGAUGCUUCACAUUGCAGAGCAUUCCCAAAGCUCCACGCCUUUGGUCAUAUGUGGAGAAUCAUUUAAUCAAACAUCUCCAAGAUGGAUUGUGUACGUAUAUAAAUAAAUAAAAACUAAUUGUUUGUGUAUAUAUCAGAAGAAGCUAUCGAAGCAACAUACCCAAGAUUGACAAGGAGGAUGCCUGGCUCCAGAUCCACAGCCACAAAAGCACCAGCAUUUUCACCAUCUUCAAGUAUAAUAAGAAUCCAGAAUGUGUGUGGGAAGCGUACAGUUUCAGGAUUGAAGUUAUACUUGUUGAUCCUAA
rnacentral:misc_RNA from 1 species